UACGGGAGAAAGCAGGGGACCUUCGGGCCUUGCGCUAUCAGAUGAGCCUAGGUCGGAUUAGCUAGUUGGUGAGGUAAUGGCUCACCAAGGCGACGAUCCGUAACUGGUCUGAGAGGAUGAUCAGUCACACUGGAACUGAGACACGGUCCAGACUCCUACGGGAGGCAGCAGUGGGGAAUAUUGGACAAUGGGCGAAAGCCUGAUCCAGCCAUGCCGCGUGUGUGAAGAAGGUCUUCGGAUUGUAAAGCACUUUAAGUUGGGAGGAAGGGUUGUAACUUAAUACGUUGCUGUUUUGACGUU
rnacentral:rRNA from 1 species